rnacentral:tRNA from 1 species
GUAGGGUCAGCUAAUUAAGCUCUC